UUAAUUGAAACCAAAAAGAGGUAUAUUACUGUUAAUAAUAAAACUGAGAAUUAUUCUCCAAUUAAA
rnacentral:tRNA from 1 species